AUUGAACGCUGGCGGCAUGCUUUACACAUGCAAGUCGAACGGUAACAGGCCUUCGGGCGCUGACGAGUGGCGAACGGGUGAGUAAUGCAUCGGAACGUGCCCAGUCGUGGGGGAUAACGCAGCGAAAGCUGUGCUAAUACCGCAUACGAUCUGCGGAUGAAAGCGGGGGACCUUAGGGCCUCGCGCGAUUGGAGCGGCCGAUGUCAGAUUAGGUAGUUGAUGGGGUAAAGGCCCACCAAGCCAACGAUCUGUAGCUGGUCUGAGAGGACGACCAGCCACACUGGAACUGAGACACGGUCCAGACUCCUACGGGAGGCAGCAGUGGGGAAUUUUGGACAAUGGACGCAAGUCUGAUCCAGCCAUUCCGCGUGCAGGAUGAAGGCCCUCGGGUUGUAAACUGCUUUUGUACGGAACGAAAAGGUUUCUAUUAAUACUAGGAGCUCAUGACGGUACCGUAAGAAUAAGCACCGGCUAACUAACGUGCCAGCAG
rnacentral:rRNA from 1 species